UGGGCUAUUUUGUAAUGGUAACACUCCAGAUUCUGGUCCUGACGUUCCAGGUUCGAAUCCUGGUAGCCCAAC
rnacentral:tRNA from 1 species